AGGAAUACCCGCUGAACUUAAGCAUAUCAAUAAGCCGGAGGACCCCCCCCC
rnacentral:rRNA from 1 species